UGGUUCUGGCAUCGAUGAAGAACGCAGCGAAAUGCGAUAAGUAAUGUGAAUUGCAGAAUUCAGUGAAUCAUCGAAUCUUUGAACGCACAUUGCGCCCGCCAGUAUUCUGGCGGGCAUGCCUGUUCGAGCGUCAUUUCAACCCCUCAGGCCCUGGUGCCUGGCGUCGGGGCCAUCUCCCGCGAAGGAGAGCCCUCAGAAACAGUGGCGGACCCGCCGCGGCUCCGAGCGCAGUAGUUAACAUUUCUCGCUCUGGAGGUCCGUGGCGCGGCACUCCAGCCGUAAAACCGGGCCAGGGAAACCUGCAACAGCCCAAACCCCACAAGGUUGACCUCGGAUCAGGUAGGAAUACCCGCUGA
rnacentral:misc_RNA from 1 species